UACAGAGGUCUCAAGCGUUGUUCGGAUUCAUUGGGCGUAAAGGGUGCGUAGGUGGCGGGGUAAGUCAGGUGUGAAAUUUCGGAGCUUAACUCCGAAACUGCAUUUGAUACUGCCUUGCUUGAGGACUGGAGAGGAGACUGGAAUUCACGGUGUAGCAGUGAAAUGCGUAGAGAUCGUGAGGAAGACCAGUGGCGAAGGCGGGUCUCUGGACAGUUCCUGACACUGAGGCAC
rnacentral:rRNA from 1 species